GACGAACGCUGGCGGCGUGCUUAACACAUGCAAGUCGAACGAUGACGACCGAGCUUGCUCGGUCUGAUUAGUGGCGAACGGGUGAGUAACACGUGAGCAACCUGCCCUUCACUCUGGGAUAACCUCGGGAAAUCGGGGCUAAUACCGGAUAUGAGCUCCUGUCGCAUGGCGGGUGUUGGAAAGUUUUUCGGUGAAGGAUGGGCUCGCGGCCUAUCAGUUUGUUGGUGAGGUAGUGGCUCACCAAGGCGAUGACGGGUAGCCGGCCUGAGAGGGCGACCGGCCACACUGGGACUGAGACACGGCCCAGACUCCUACGGGAGGCAGCGGUGGGGAAUAUUGCACAAUGGGCGAAAGCCUGAUGCAGCGACGCCGCGUGAGGGAUGACGGCCUUCGGGUUGUAAACCUCUUUCAGCAGGGAAGAAGCGAAAGUGACGGUACCUGCAGAAGAAGCGCCGGCUAACUACGUG
rnacentral:rRNA from 1 species